rnacentral:tRNA from 1 species
GGUAGAAUAAGUUAAAUAAACUGUUGGGCUCAUGACCCAAAAAUGAGAAAUUGUAUUUUCUCUUCUACUU